rnacentral:rRNA from 1 species
GAACCGAGCGAACGUUGUUCGGAAUCACUGGGCUUAAAGGGCGCGUAGGCGGGUGCUCAAGUCCGGGGUGAAAUCCUCCAGCUCAACUGGAGAACUGCCUCGGAUACUGGGUGCCUCGAGUGUGGUAGGGGUGCGCGGAACUAUCGGUGGAGCGGUGAAAUGCGUUGAUAUCGAUAGGAACUCCGGUGGCGAAGGCGGCGCACUGGACCACAACUGACGCUGAGGCGCGAAAGCCAGGGGAGCAAACGGGAUUAGAUACCCCGGUAGUCCUGGCCCUAAACGAUGGGUACUAGCUAGUAGGGUUCACAUGGCUUUACUGGCGAAGCAAAAGUGCUAAGUACCCCGCCUGGGGAGUAUGGUCGCAAGGCUGAA